rnacentral:rRNA from 1 species
AUUGAACGCUGGCGGCAGGCUUAACACAUGCAAGUCGAGCGGGGGAAGGUAGCUUGCUACUGGACCUAGCGGCGGACGGGUGAGUAAUGCUUAGGAAUCUGCCUAUUAGUGGGGGACAACAUCUCGAAAGGGGUGCUAAUACCGCAUACGUCCUACGGGAGAAAGCAGGGGAUCUUCGGACCUUGCGCUAAUAGAUGAGCCUAAGUCGGAUUAGCUAGUUGGUGGGGUAAAGGCCUACCAAGGCGACGAUCUGUAGCGGGUCUGAGAGGAUGAUCCGCCACACUGGGACUGAGACACGGCCCAGACUCCUACGGGAGGCAGCAGUGGGGAAUAUUGGACAAUGGGGGGAACCCUGAUCCAGCCAUGCCGCGUGUGUGAAGAAGGCCUUAUGGUUGUAAAGCACUUUAAGCGAGGAGGAGGCUACUUUAGUUAAUACCUAGAGAUAGUGGACGUUACUCGCAGAAUAAGCACCGGCUAACUCUGUGCCAGCCGCCGCGGUAA